GCAUUGCCAAGCAGCAGACCCUCCCUCCCAGACCCUCCCACCUCCUGGACAGCAUCCAUUUUACAUUCAUUGUGAAGCUGCAUUCUUAGUGAGCUGUCCAGGAAGUGGGAGGGUCUGGGAGGGAGGGUCUGCUGCUGAUUGG